ACGAACGCUGGCGGCGUGCCUAAUACAUGCAAGUUGAGCGAUGAAGAUUGGUGCUUGCACCAAUUUGAAGAGCAGCGAACGGGUGAGUAACGCGUGGGGAAUCUGCCUUUGAGCGGGGGACAACAUUUGGAAACGAAUGCUAAUACCGCAUAACAACUUUAAACAUAAGUUUUAAGUUUGAAAGAUGCCAUUGCAUCACUCAAAGAUGAUCCCGCGUUGUAUUAGCUAGUUGGUGAGGUAAAGGCUCACCAAGGCGAUGAUACAUAGCCGACCUGAGAGGGUGAUCGGCCACAGUGGGACUGAGACACGGCCCAAACUCCUACGGGAGGCAGCAGUAGGGAAUCUUCGGCAAUGGACGAAAGUCUGACCGAGCAACGCCGCGUGAGUGAAGAAGGGUUUCGGAUCGUAAAACUCUGUUGGUAGAGAAGAACGUUGGUGAGAGUGGAAAGCUCAUCAAGUGACGGUAACUACCCAGAAAGGGACGGCUAACUACGUG
rnacentral:rRNA from 1 species